UUCAUAAUCAUAUUUCGAAAACUAUAGCAGCUGUAGAAAAACUAACUUCAGAUUUGGGAUCAGUGUGGCGAAAUCAUACAAAUUCGUUUAAGAUAUACUCACGAAAUUAUAAACAACCUAAUUACAUCAGUUGGUAAACAAGAACUGCGAGCUUCAAACCCAGAAUCUUAAUAUCAGUAUUAAGCACAGAAACGUCAUGGAAUUGGACUGGAUUGCAGGUGGUGGAAAUAUGUACAUAUAAAUCGUAUUUCAGGCAUAAAUUCGUGUAUAUGGAUAUUUUACGACAAGUGUUGAAAGGGAUCGAAGGAGACUUUUCUCGAGUCAACAACGACUGUAAGUUGCUCAAGAAGGAUUAUUAUAUAUUUGUCCACACCACGAAAGGAAGAAGUGCAACUUUCCCACCAUUACGAAGUUAAAAAUGUUAAAAAUAAAAUAAGCAUAAAAUCUAAAAUUUAAAUUAAAUAAAUUGUAAAUAAAUAAAAUUGUACAGUCGUGCCGAGUUUGCAGAAGUUCGAAUUUGUUCGUCAGAAGCUGAGAACAAGCCGAAAAGAAAGCUUAAAGGUUCUACACAAAUUCAUUUUUUAAACAGAAGGAAACGCUUACGGGAUUUUACUGGCUUUGAAUUCGACAAAAAUGACGAGCGCUAUACCCAGAAAUUGAUCUAAGUACAAGUUUAACAUGCAGUGUAAGUAAUUUGAAACUGCACAUAUUACGAAAUGUGCGAUGACGAAUGUGUCGAUGAAGGUGCCGAAGACAACGACGACGAUGAUCAUGGUGAUGUUAUGCGCAGUUUUGAAGACGCU
rnacentral:lncRNA from 1 species